rnacentral:rRNA from 1 species
AUUGAACGCUGGCGGCAGGCCUAACACAUGCAAGUCGAACGGUAACAGGAAGCAGCUUGCUGCUUUGCUGACGAGUGGCGGACGGUUGAGUAAUGUCUGGGAAACUGCCCGAGGGAGGGGGAUAACUACUGGAAACGGUAGCUAAUACCGCGUAACGUCGCAAGACCAAAGAGGGGGACCUUAUGGCCUCUUGCCAUCGGAUGUGCCCAGAUGGGAUUAGCUAGUAGGUGGGGUAACGGCUCACCUAGGCGACGAUCCCUAGCUGGUCUGAGAGGAUGACCAGCCACACUGGAACUGAGACACGGUCCAGACUCCUACGGAAGGCAGCAGUGGGGAAUAUUGGACAAUGGGCGCAAGCCUGAUGCAGCAAUGCCGCGUGUAUGAAGAAGGCCUUCGGGUUGUAAAGUACUUUCAGCGGGGAGGAAGGGAGUAAAGUUAAUACCUUUGCUCAUUGACGUUACCCGAAGAAGAAGCACCGGCUAACUACGUG